AGUCUCCUCAAAUUCUGCACACAUAAAACUUCAGAGCCUGGGAGCGACCCAUGAAACGCAGGUUUUUAAGGACAAAACAAUAGGACAAAAGUGCUGUAUAUUGUCCUUAAGAUGACACAUGAAUUUAAAAUGCAUAGUGUUUGGAUUAUUCAUGAGAGCCCCGCAAGAACGAUGUCCCAGGGGUUUUUGCCAGGAACAUGCCUGAGAUUGUAGAUAAGAAUCAAGCAUCUGGGGCUGCCGCACAAUGGAAAACUCCAGCACUCCAUGGAACUUUUCCAUCUGCAGCAGUCGGAGGAUUUGCCUGAGAACAUACGCGGCAUGAAGACACUCUCAGCCCUCAAGGGCACCCAGUCAGCGCUGUUUAAGGACGGUUUUUCUGUUCACAGCAUACUUCAUGAUUACAGCUUCACUCCAUUGGAUACAACUAUAAAGUGAGGUCCACGUUCCCACUCCUUGAAUCUGAGUUGGGCUGUGACUACAGCAGAAGUUCAGCUAUGUGGCUUCCAAGGCUACCUUGGAAAGGUGAUAGAGCUUCCACCUGAUUUUCUUGGGAACAGCCACUCUUAAACCUCAGCCACCAUACGGGGAGAAAGCCCAAGCCAUGUGACGAGGCCAUUUGUAGGUGUUCCAGUCAUCAGUCCCAGCCCACAGCCAGCAUUAACCCCCAGAGGUAUAAAUGAAGAAACCAAGAUCACUCCAGCCCCAACCGGCACUUGACUGCAAACCUAUAAGAGACUCCAAGCAAAUAAUAUCUAUCUCAGCCCAAUCAAGCCCUGGAACCAUGAGAGAUUCUAAAUAAUAAAGUGAUCAUUGUGAUUUUAAGCCACUGAGUCCUGCAGUGAGUUGUUAUAUAGCAACCGGGCAUCGGCAUACCAUCAGAAGAUUCCUUAAGAAGAAACUUUUGCAACGUUGCUACAGCAGAAAAUAUUCCUUCUGUAUGAUCAUUCAUCCAUUC
rnacentral:lncRNA from 1 species